GACGAACGCUGGCGGCGUGCUUAACACGUGCAAGUCGGACGGAAAGGCCCUGCUUUUGUGGGGUGCUCGAGUGGCGAACGGGUGAGUAACACGUGAGUAACCUGCCCUUGACUUUGGGAUAACUUCAGGAAACUGGGGCUAAUACCGGAUAGGAGCUCCUGCUGCAUGGUGGGGGUUGGAAAGUUUCGGCGGUUGGGGAUGGACUCGCGGCUUAUCAGCUUGUUGGUGGGGUAGUGGCUUACCAAGGCUUUGACGGGUAGCCGGCCUGAGAGGGUGACCGGCCACAUUGGGACUGAGAUACGGCCCAGACUCCUACGGGAGGCAGCAGUGGGGAAUAUUGCACAAUGGGCGGAAGCCUGAUGCAGCAACGCCGCGUGCGGGAUGACGGCCUUCGGGUUGUAAACCGCUUUCGCCUGUGACGAAGCGUGAGUGACGGUAAUGGGUAAAGAAGCACCGGCUAACUACGUG
rnacentral:rRNA from 1 species